AUUUUAAUGAGCAGGGGUGUACGCAAAGUGCUGGGAGCACCUAUAGGAAUGGACUCUGAUGAUUGACUGUUGUCAGGGUUUUAAUCAGUCAGUGGAGCUCCUGUGUAUUCCACCACCAAAAUUCUGUAGCAACAAGUCAGAAAUUUACCUGAACACACACCACUUCCAGACCACCACACCCAUCAGGCUAUUUUAACUGUGUGGGCACAAGGCAUGAAAAUGUUGACUGUUGAUGGGGUGAAAGAUAGCAAAGAGCAUCACAACGCGCCCUGUGCAGGUGUACGAAAGGACUGUAAGCUGUUUUCUCAUGUGUGUGUGUGUGCUUGUAUGUGUUUUCAUAGGCUAAUGACACCAUUAGAGAGAAGCUAAUAAGUGAAGCGGCUAACGCUAGACAGCUGGCAACAAAAGUCCGUUUACAGGAUUCCUACCGGCGCAACAUGAGUUCCAGCAUCAACGCCCUGGAAAACAUCAGCAAAAAUUACAAGACGAAUGCAGACAACACUCUUCUGAGCAUGAGCGAAACUGAAAACGCUCUUCAGCUUGAAGUUCCGCAUAUCGUGCAAGAUGUGUCUGGGUGUAUGAUGGAGAAGGGGGAGAAUUUGCUGACGCAGUAUUUGGACGUGGUCAGAUAUGUGAUCUGUGGAUACGCUUCAUCACUUUCAGAUAAUAGACCAGGCGCUGAGCUGCCUCUGGCUUCCUCCUUCCCUCGACAACCUGUACACCGCCACCUGCCGAAACCUGAUUGGACCAUGGGUGAGUUUCAGUGACAUGUAUAGCAAUAUAUUGUACAGUGUAAUACUAGUGUACUAAGUAUUUUGGAACUACAGCUCUGGAAAAAAUAAGAGACCACUUAAAAAUGAUGAGUUUCUUUGAUUUUACCAAAUUGAAAACCUCUGGAAUAUAAUCAAGAGGAAGAUGGAUGAUCACAAGCCAUCAAACCAAACUGAACUGCUUGAAUUUUUGCACCUGGAGUAAAGGCAUAAAGUUAUCCAAAAGCAGUGUGUAAGACUGGUGGAGGAGAACAUGCCAAGAUGCAUGAAAA
rnacentral:lncRNA from 1 species